CUGUGAGCUCGAUGAGUAGGGCGGGACACGUGGUAUCCUGUCUGAAUAUGGGGGGACCAUCCUCCAAGGCUAAAUACUCCUGACUGACCGAUAGUGAACCAGUACCGUGAGGGAAAGGCGAAAAGAACCCCGGCGAGGGGAGUGAAAAAGAACCUGAAACCGUGUACGUACAAGCAGUGGGAGCCUCUUUAUGGGGUGACUGCGUACCUUUUGUAUAAUGGGUCAGCGACUUAUAUUCUGUAGCAAGGUUAACCGAAUAGGGGAGCCGAAGGGAAACCGAGUCUUAACUGGGCGUUAAGUUGCAGGGUAUAGACCCGAAACCCGGUGAUCUAGCCAUGGGCAGGUUGAAGGUUGGGUAACACUAACUGGAGGACCGAACCGACUAAUGUUGAAAAAUUAGCGGAUGACUUGUGGCUGGGGGUGAAAGGCCAAUCAAACCGGGAGAUAGCUGGUUCUCCCCGAAAGCUAUUUAGGUAGCGCCUCGUGAAUUCAUCUCCGGGGGUAGAGCACUGUUUCGGCAAGGGGGUCAUCCCGACUUACCAACCCGAUGCAAACUGCGAAUACCGGAGAAUGUUAUCACGGGAGACACACGGCGGGUGCUAACGUCCGUCGUGAAGAGGGAAACAACCCAGACCGCCAGCUAAGGUCCCAAAGUCAUGGUUAAGUGGGAAACGAUGUGGGAAGGCCCAGACAGCCAGGAUGUUGGCUUAGAAGCAGCCAUCAUUUAAAGAAAGCGUAAUAGCUCACUGGUCGAGUCGGCCUGCGCGGAAGAUGUAACGGGGCUAAACCAUGCACCGAAGCUGCGGCAGCGACGCUUAUGCGUUGUUGGGUAGGGGAGCGUUCUGUAAGCCUGCGAAGGUGUGCUGUGAGGCAUGCUGGAGGUAUCAGAAGUGCGAAUGCUGACAUAAGUAACGAUAAAGCGGGUGAAAAGCCCGCUCGCCGGAAGACCAAGGGUUCCUGUCCAACGUUAAUCGGGGCAGGGUGAGUCGACCCCUAAGGCGAGGCCGAAAGGCGUAGUCGAUGGGAAACAGGUUAAUAUUCCUGUACUUGGUGUUACUGCGAAGGGGGGACGGAGAAGGCUAUGUUGGCCGGGCGACGGUUGUCCCGGUUUAAGCGUGUAGGCUGGUUUUCCAGGCAAAUCCGGAAAAUCAAGGCUGAGGCGUGAUGACGAGGCACUACGGUGCUGAAGCAACAAAUGCCCUGCUUCCAGGAAAAGCCUCUAAGCAUCAGGUAACAUCAAAUCGUACCCCAAACCGACACAGGUGGUCAGGUAGAGAAUACCAAGGCGCUUGAGAGAACUCGGGUGAAGGAACUAGGCAAAAUGGUGCCGUAACUUCGGGAGAAGGCACGCUGAUAUGUAGGUGAAGCGACUUGCUCGUGGAGCUGAAAUCAGUCGAAGAUACCAGCUGGCUGCAACUGUUUAUUAAAAACACAGCACUGUGCAAACACGAAAGUGGACGUAUACGGUGUGACGCCUGCCCGGU
rnacentral:rRNA from 1 species